CGUUUCUGCCGUUGGUUGAAACUCUGUUUUCCCUUUAGUUCGUAGUUGGAUGUCAACGUUGAGGAAGAAAAAUCUAGUAUCAGUAUUCUGCUCAGCAAUUUUGAUUCCAUCCAUGCUUUCCAUCGAUAAUUUAUCUUAAACUACGGAAAUUCGAUCGGAUUAGAGAAAACCGUAUUUGAUGUCUAUUGUAAGCCGUCUUUAAUUAUUACAAGUGGCCCAUGGUUACAAAGGUUAUUUCACCUAUUAGAGAAUUCAGACUAACCCAAGAGCGCUCAAUAAAAAGUGUAUCCAGUAAAAUACACAGCCUUUUCAUGGAAGACUUCGUGCAACCAAAGAUAUUUCUGAAAUAUUUAUUGAUAUCGCAUCAACUCUGGAACCUUUCUCUACUGGAUGAUUGGAAGAACCUUUUUUUCAGCUGCAAAUGGAAUGGAUAUAGU